rnacentral:rRNA from 1 species
GUAGUCCAUGCCGUAAACGUUGGGCACUAGGUGUGGGGGACAUUCCACGUUUUCCGCGCCGUAGCUAACGCAUUAAGUGCCCCGCCUGGGGAGUACGGCCGCAAGGCUAAAACUCAAAGGAAUUGACGGGGGCCCGCACAAGCGGCGGAGCAUGCGGAUUAAUUCGAUGCAACGCGAAGAACCUUACCAAGGCUUGACAUGGGCCGGAUCGCCGCAGAAAUGUGGUUUCCCCUUUGGGGCCGGUUCACAGGUGGUGCAUGGUUGUCGUCAGCUCGUGUCGUGAGAUGUUGGGUUAAGUCCCGCAACGAGCGCAACCCUCGUUCCGUGUUGCCAGCGCGUGAUGGCGGGGACUCAUAGGAGACUGCCGGGGUCAACUCGGAGGAAGGUGGGGACGACGUCAAAUCAUCAUGCCCCUUAUGUCUUGGGCUUCACGCAUGCUACAAUGGCCGGUACAAAGGGUUGCGAUACUGUGAGGUGGAGCUAAUCCCAAAAAGCCGGUCUCAGUUCGGAUUGGGGUCUGCAACUCGACCCCAUGAAGUCGGAGUCGCUAGUAAUCGCAGAUCAGCAACGCUGCGGUGAAUACGUUCCCGGGCCUUGUACACACCGCCCGUCAAGUCACGAAAGUUGGUAACACCCGAAGCCGGUGGCCUAACCCCUUGUGGGAGGGAGCUGUCGAAGGUGGGACUGGCGAUUGGGACU